rnacentral:rRNA from 1 species
UACAGAGGGGGCAAGCGUUGUUCGGAAUUACUGGGCGUAAAGGGCGCGUAGGCGGCCUGUUAAGUCGAACGUGAAAUCCCCGGGCUCAACCCGGGAACUGCGUCCGAUACUGGCAGGCUUGAAUCCGGGAGAGGGAUGCGGAAUUCCAGGUGUAGCGGUGAAAUGCGUAGAUAUCUGGAGGAACACCGGUGGCGAGGCGGCAUCCUGGACCGGCAUUGACGCUGAGGCGCGAAAGCCAGGGGAGCAAACGGGG